rnacentral:misc_RNA from 1 species
AAGACUAUAGACCUGCGGAGUACCUGCGGAAGGAUCAUUAUUGAAUUAUGUUUCUAAAUGGGUUGUAGCUGGCUCGUCAGAGCAUGUGCACGCCUGUUUGGACUCCAUUUUCAUCCACCUGUGCACCUAUUGUAGUCUUUGGUUGGGUAUCAAGGAAGUGGUCAGCCUAUCAGCACUUGCUGGAUGUGAGGACUUGCAGUGUGAAAGCUUUGCUGUCCUUUACUUGAUCAUGGAGUUGUU